GUGGCGGACGGGUGAGUAAUGCUUGGGAAUCUAGCUUAUGGAGGGGGAUAACUACGGGAAACUGUAGCUAAUACCGCGUACCAUAGGAUGAGCCCAAGGGGGAUUAGGUAGUUGGUGGGGUAAAGGCUCACCAAGCCGACGAUCUCUAGCUGGUCUGAGAGGAUGACCAGCAACACGGGGACUUAGACACGGCCCAGACUCCGACGGGAGGCAGCAGUGGGGAAUAUUGCGCAAUGGGGGCAACCCUGACGCAGCCAUGCCGCGUGUGUGAAGAAGGUCUUCGGAUUGUAAAGCACUUUAAGUUGGGAGGCGUUACCAACAGAAUAAGCACCGGCUAACUUCGUGCCAGCAGCCGCGGUAAUUC
rnacentral:rRNA from 1 species